CGGCCUUCUCUUGUCUCUGCAGUCUGCACCGCUACUCCAACAAAGUUUCUCAGUGUGCUAUUGUUGAAGAGAAAGAAAUGUUGAAGACGAUGCUGAAGACAAGUGUUUUUCCACAUGCCAAGAAGAUGAGGGAUCGCAAGCCAUGCCGUCUAAAUAUUGGUAAACAUUUAUGUUCUUCGAAUCAGCCCAAGUUUGAUGAAAGAGUAACUUUGAAAGUGCAGCCACCGCCGGAGAAGAAGAAGAAGAAGAAGAAGAAGGAUUUGUUUCUGUACUGGGAUAUAGGUAAGCAACUAUGGCGUUUGAACAUUAGGAACUCUGCGGAAGAGGGAGCCAGUCGAAGAAGACUCAGCUUGAAGUUGUGCAUGUUUUCGAUUCCCAUGCAGUAAAUAUUUCUAGUCCUUUCCGGCUUAAA